AUUGAACGCUGGCGGCAGGCCUAACACAUGCAAGUCGAACGAGUGGCGGACGGGUGAGUAAUGUAUGGGAAUCUAGCUUAUGGAGGGGGAUAACUACGGGAAACUGUAGCCAAUACCGCGUACCAUCGGAUGAGACAAAGUGGGAUUAGGUAGUUGGUGAGGUAAAGGCUCACCAAGCCGACGAUCUCUAGCUGGUCUGAGAGUAUGAGCAGCCACACUGGGACUGAGACAGGGCCAAAACUCCUACGGGAGGAAGCAGUGGGGAAUGUUGCGCAAUGGGGGCAACCUGACGAAGCAAGGCCGCGUGGAUGAGAAAGGCCUUCGAGUUUUAAAGUUCUUUCAGUGAGGAGGCGUUAGCUACAGAAGAAGCACCGGCUAACUCCGUGCCAGCAGCCGCGGUAAUAC
rnacentral:rRNA from 1 species